UACGUAGGUGGCGAGCGUUGUUCGGAUUUACUGGGCGUAAAGGGCGUGCAGGCGGUUUGUUAAGUGCAGGGUGAAAGCUCCCGGCUCAACUGGGAGAGGUCCUUGCAUACUGGCGAACUCGAGGGAGGCAGAGGAAAGUGGAAUUCCCGGUGUAGUGGUGAUAUGCGUAGAUAUCGGGAGGAACACCUGUGGCGAAGGCGGCUUUCUGGGCCUUACCUGACGCUGAGACGCGAAAGCGUGGGGAGCGAACCGG
rnacentral:rRNA from 1 species